rnacentral:rRNA from 1 species
GACGAACGCUGGCGGCGUGCUUAACACAUGCAAGUCGAGCGGUAAGGCCCUUUCGGGGGUACGACGAGCGGCGAACGGGUGAGUAACACGUGGGUGACCUGCCCUCCAGCUCUGGGAUAAGCCUGGGAAACCGGGUCUAAUACUGGAUAUGACUCCAUGACGCAUGUUGUGGGGUGGAAAGCCUUGUGCGGCUGAGGAGUGGGCCCGCCGGCCUAUCAGCUUGUUGGUGGGGUGAUGGCCUACCAAGGCGACGACGGGUAGCCGGCCUGAGAGGGCGACCGGCCGACACUGGGACUGAGACACGGCCCAGACUCCUACGGGAGGCAGCAGUGGGGAAUCUUGCGCAAUGGGCGAAAGCCUGACGCAGCGACGCCGCGUGAGGGAUGACGGCC